rnacentral:rRNA from 1 species
AUACGGAGGGUGCAAGCGUUAUCCGGAUUUAUUGGGUUUAAAGGGUACGUAGGUGGCCCUGUAAGUCAGUGGUGAAAUCCUGCCGCUUAACGGUAGAAUUGCCAUUGAUACUGCGGGGCUUGAGUACAGUUGAGGCAGGCGGAAUGUGCAGUGUAGCGGUGAAAUGCUUAGAUAUUGCACAGAACUCCGAUUGCGAAGGCAGCUUGACUAAACUGACACUGACACUGAGGUAACGAAAGCGGUGGGGAGC